UCGCUGGUGGUCCAGUGGCUAAGACGCCGCACUCCCAAUGCAGGGGCCCGGGUCUGAUCCCUGGUCAGGGAA
rnacentral:tRNA from 1 species